GGAAAGUGUUAGGGAGCUAAGACUAGUUACAAGUGAAUGCAGGAUCGAUGAAACAUAACUAACCGCGUGUCGCCGCGUGAUUUUAGUUCAAAAAUCACCUUGCAAAUUUUCUGAAUUUGCCUUGUUUCAAAUUACGUCUCUUUACGAGAGGAGAUUUGAAGUAAGUGCACGCGGCGACUUGCAGUUCGUGAUGCCAAUCGUUCUUGUAUGCGUUUGUGUCUAGGCUAAGCUCUCUAAUGUUUUCC